rnacentral:rRNA from 1 species
AUUGAACGCUGGCGGCAUGCCUUACACAUGCAAGUCGAACGGCAGCACGGGUGCUUGCACCUGGUGGCGAGUGGCGAACGGGUGAGUAAUACAUCGGAACGUACCUUAUCGUGGGGGAUAACGCAGCGAAAGCUGUGCUAAUACCGCAUACGCCCUGAGGGGGAAAGCGGGGGAUCGAAAGACCUCGCGCGAUUAGAGCGGCCGAUGCCUGAUUAGCUUGUUGGUGGGGUAAAAGCCCACCAAGGCGACGAUCAGUAGCUGGUCUGAGAGGACGAUCAGCCACACUGGGACUGGGACACGGCCCAGACUCCUACGGGAGGCAGCACUGGGGAAUUUUGGACAAUGGGGGCAACCCUGAUCCAGCAAUGCCGCGUGAGUGAAGAAGGCCUUCGGGUUGUAAAGCGCUUUUGUCAGGGAAGAAACACCGGCUCUAACACAGUCCGGGAAUGACGGUACCUGAAGAAUAAGCACCGGCUAACUACGUUCCAGCCGCCGCCGCAG